rnacentral:rRNA from 1 species
AUACGGAGGGUGCAAGCGUUACUCGGAAUCACUGGGCGUAAAGCGCGCGCAGGCGGCUUGAUAAGUUGGAUGUGAAAGCCUACGGCUCAACCGUAGAACUGCAUCCAAAACUGUCAAGCUUGAGUCUGGGAGGGGAAGAUGGAAUUAGUUGUGUAGGGGUAAAAUCCGUAGAGAUAACUAGGAAUACCAAAAGCGAAGGCGAUCUUCUGGAACAGUACUGACGCUGAGGCGCGAAAGCGUGGGGAGCAAACAGGAUUAGAAACCCCGGUAGUCC